UUGCUUCAGCAGUACAUAUACUAAAAUUGGAACAAUACAGAGAAGAUUAGCAUGGCCUCUGCACAAGGAUGACACAAAUUCAUAAAGCAUUGUGCUUGCUUUAA